GGCCUAAAGCCUUUAUCACA
rnacentral:tRNA from 1 species